rnacentral:rRNA from 1 species
AACUUUCAACAACGGAUCUCUUGGUUCCAGCAUCGAUGAAGAACGCAGCGAAAUGCGAUAAGUAAUGUGAAUUGCAGAAUUCCGUGAAUCAUCGAAUCUUUGAACGCACAUUGCGCCCUCUGGCAUUCCGGAGGGCAUGCCUGUCCGAGCGUCAUU